rnacentral:lncRNA from 1 species
GGAAGAGCAAGACAUGGUCCUGGUGCAUGAAAGGAGCCUAAGAAAGAAGAGUGAAAGCUGCACGUGUGUGAGUAUCUAGCAGAACAUCUAGAAAAUGCACACCAACCUCCAGCAGCAGAAAACAGUCUACCUCCAGAAAGCCAUAAAAGAGAAAAGAAUGUUGUACCAAACUAAGCAAAUGAAGCAUGAAAUGAAAAGCCGGUUGAGCUGGGAGGUAUAAAGAAUGGAAAGGAAGCAGCUACCACCCCUGGUAACCCCAUCAAUCCGGAGAAGCUUCGCAGAGUUACACUGUGCUCUGUCGGGAAGGAAAUGAAUUUUCCUCAUUGUACACAUUCCGAGAAAAAUGAGGCUAAGACUAUUUCAAAGGAUGUUCUACCUAAUUCGAAUGGGCUUUAAGUGCCAUCUUCACAAUAGCGCCAGAGUCUGGUGUCAGCAAACUGAACAAAUAGAGCUACAGGGAGCGAAUGGGGCUGGGUGCCUCUCCAAAACAUAUGCAGAUGAACUUGAGAUUUCAGAGGACGGUUAAUCCUACACAGCAGUCAAGUGCCUUCCCAGGGGGCUCCCUUCCAAACACUGGCUGCCACGUCAAACCAAAGGGGACGAGCAAUCAGACUCACCUCAAACGCCAGUUAAGAAAGCCGGCCUUACUUAAGCAAUCAAGGGCAAGUGAUCAGCCAACUCUGCUUUCUUUCCUUUCUCUUGGAUCAUUUAUAGACCUUGUGGCCGUGGCCACCACAUUGAGAAGCCCUUGGUCUCUACUUGGACUCACUAUAGCAGAGCAUCCUGGCAGGCAUCCACUGUGCCAUAUGCUUUCGGGAAGUCUGGAUGCUGAAUGUGGUGGCUGUGGGGAAUUGAGCCUUAUUGCUUCAUAAGAUUCCUGGUGGUAGAACUAUUCUGAACAAGAACACGUCCGUCCCCAUAGGUGUGCUCCAAGAAUCACAGAAUAAGAAGGGACUUCGGAGAGAGCCUCACACAGUUGGGCAAUGGGAGCCCAGAGAGGCAAGGAAGGCUCCUUGCCCAAAGUCUUGUACAUCUGAAUCUGCAACUCCUGACUAUUUUUGAGUCUUAUGCUCCAGGCUAAAACUUGUGACUUUAAGUGUGAUGUUCUCGGUGAUGAUUAAUCUAGGAUGUUUCUGUUGUUUUCUUACCGUCAAAGAAUUAACAUCAAAAGGAAAGGAAGGAAGAAAUGUAGAAGUGAAGGCAAGAAGGAAGGAAGGAGGAAAGGAAGGAAGGAAAAUAUAGGCUUUGGGUAAAAAUAAGUUUCUACUCAACACUGACAAAGGUACAGGUUUUGGACAUUGGUUUCCUAAUCUGUAAAUGAGGAAUAGUCAUCACAUCGCUGUCCUGGCUGGUUUUGUGUGUCAACUUGACACAAGCUGGAGUUAUCACAGAGAAAGGAAAGAAAAUGCCUCCAUGAGAUCUAGCUGUAAAUGGAUUAGUGAUCAAGAGUGGGAGGGCCCAGUGUGGGUGGUGCCAUCCCUGGACUGGUGGUCCUGGGUUCUACAAGAAAACAAGCUGAGCAAGCCAGGGGAAGCAAGCCAGGGGAACAUCCCUCCACGGCUCUGCAUCAGCUCCUGCUUCCUGCCCUGUGUGAGUUCCAGUCCUGACUUCCUUUGGUGACGAACAGCAAUGUGAUAGUAUAAGCUGAAUAAACCCUUUCCUCCCCAAC